CCUACGGGGCGCAGCAGUGAGGAAUAUUGGUCAAUGGACGGAAGUCUGAACCAGCCAUGCCGCGUGCAGGAAGACGGCUCUAUGAGUUGUAAACUGCUUUUGUACAAGGGUAAACCUGAAUACGUGUAUUCAGCUGAAAGUACUGUACGAAUAAGGAUCGGCUAACUCCGUGCCAGCAGCCGCGGUAAUACGGAGGAUCCAAGCGUUAUCCGGAUUUAUUGGGUUAAAAGGGUGCGUAGGCGGAAUAUCAAGUCAGCGGUAAAAAUUCGGGGCUCAACCCCGUCGUGCCGUUGAAACUGAUGUUCUUGAGUGGGCGAGAAGUAUGCGGAAUGCGUGGUGUAGCGGUGAAAUGCAUAGAUAUCACGCAGAACUCCGAUUGCGAAGGCAGCCUUCCGGCGCCCUACUGACGCUGAGGCACGAAAGUGCGGGGAUCGAACAGGAUUAGAUACCCCUGUAGUC
rnacentral:rRNA from 1 species